rnacentral:pre_miRNA from 1 species
CUUGUACUCCCUCCGUUCCGAAUUACUCGUCGCAAAAAUGGAUGUAUCUAGAUGUAUUUUAGUUCUAGAUACAUCCAUUUCUGCGACGAGUAAUUUGGAACGGAGGGAGUAUAAU